rnacentral:rRNA from 1 species
CGCCAGCAGCCGCGGUAAUACGUAGGGUGCGAGCGUUAAUCGGAAUUACUGGGCGUAAAGCGUGCGCAGGCGGUUCGCUAAGACAGGUGUGAAAUCCCCGGGCUUAACCUGGGAAUGGCGCUUGUGACUGGCGGGCUGGAGUACGGCAGAGGGAGGUGGAAUUCCACGUGUAGCAGUGAAAUGCGUAGAGAUGUGGAGGAACACCGAUGGCGAAGGCAGCCUCCUGGGCCAGUACUGACGCUCAUGCACGAAAGCGUGGGGAGCAAACAGGAUUAGAUACCCUGGUAGUCCACGCCCUAAACGAUGCGAACUAGUCGUUGGAGGAGCAAUCCUUUAGUGACGCAGCUAACGCGUGAAGUUCGCCGCCUGGGGAGUACGGUCGCAAGAUUAAAACUUAAAGGAAUUGGCGGGGGAU